rnacentral:rRNA from 1 species
UACGUAGGGUGCGAGCGUUGUCCGGAAUUAUUGGGCGUAAAGAGCUCGUAGGCGGUUUGUCGCGUCGGCCGUGAAAACCUGGGGCUCAACUCUGGGCGUGCGGUCGAUACGGGCAUCACUUGAGUUCGGCAGGGGAGACUGGAAUUCCUGGUGUAGCGGUGAAAUGCGCAGAUAUCAGGAGGAACACCAAUGGCGAAGGCAGCUCGCUGGGACGGUACUGACACUGAGACGCGAAAGCGUGGGGAGCAAACAGG